rnacentral:rRNA from 1 species
UACAGAGGUCUCAAGCGUUGUUCGGAUUCAUUGGGCGUAAAGGGUGCGUAGGCGGCUUUCUAAGUCAGGGGUGAAAUCCUGGAGCUCAACUCCAGAACUGCCUUUGAUACUGGAGGGCUUGAGUCCGGAAGAGGUGAGUGGAACUCCGAGUGUAGAGGUGAAAUUCGUAGAUAUUCGGAAGAACACCAGUGGCGAAGGCGGCUCACUGGUCCGGUACUGACGCUGAUGUGCGAAAGCGUGGGGAGCAAACAGG